UAUUGUUGGACAGGUUGGGGUUCGAAGCGCAAGGCGAGCGCCAAGGUGGAGACGGAGGAGGAAACCAUGGCCGUGGAGUGGUAGAGGGGUGAAAAAGAGGAGGACAAUCCGGAGACUGUUACAGAGGGCCAGAGAGUGGUCAUUCAACACUGUAAAAGCUGACUAGUUUACGGACAUAAUGCCGAGCGGGUCAGAGUUGCCCUCCUGGCUGCCCACCCAGACCUCACUGUUCACUGUGGUUCUGAAUCCCCAGAAGCCCCGGAAUAAAAGUUUUGAAGUGAUGCUGGUUGAAGGAGAGAAAGGAAUGGGUUUUUGUCGGGAAAAAAGUGAAACCCCUUGGAUUGAAUUUUGGAAUAGUCGGUUACAAAAGAAGCGCAACAUGCGCGCGAAAGUUUGAGGUUACGCAAGCUGAAUUAAGACCAAUAAGGCGCCUCGUUCCAGAACAGGCGACGUACAAGGCAGAGACUGAGGAGGAGACGGUGGUCAUGGAGGGAAAGCGGGGUAAAAGAGAGGAGGGGGACACGGAGACUGCUUCAGAGGGCCAGAGGGUGGUCAUUGAACACUGUAAGAGCUGAUACGUGUACCGGCGGUGUGCUGAGGGGGUGCGAGAUGCCCUCCUGGCUGCCCGCUCAGACCUCAUCGUGGUUCUGAACCCCCAGAAACCCCGCAAG